UUGAUCUCAAAUCAGGUAGGAGUACC
rnacentral:rRNA from 1 species